UCCUUUCAUUAGCUGUAGACCUUGGCAGCUGCCAGAAGGGGGUGGUGGGCAAGAGGGAGAGGACAAAGUCAAUGUUCUGAGGGAAGGCUGAGGAAGCUGGCGUGUCUGGAACUAGAGAGAGCUUAGGAAGGAGCGCCAGAGAAAGAGAAUGCUCAGUGCCAGACAGGCAUGCUGAGGAUCUGGCUAGUCAUCCAAACAGCUACCACGGGACUGUGUGAAGUAGAGCUCACAACAGCAGGCAGGCCAAACGGAGACCAGCAAGCAGCUGCACGACUGCUGUCGCUCACCAUGGCAGCCAACAUUCCCUCUGGAGGGGAAGCUUCCCACAAGAAUGGACGGUGAAGAGGGCUCCUGCAGCCAGGCAAGCUUGCAAUGAUGCCAGAACUCAAGAAACCUUAGGCAACAGGACCUAGUUGGAUAAUAAAGCGGAUCUGGCACUGCAGAGAAAGAGAAUGCUGAGGUCAGCUGCUAGGCUGAGACAGAGACAUCACAGAACAGCCCACAAGGCCUUCAGAUACAGUGGGGACAGAGGCCCUGGCGCCUCAAAGACCAAACUCUACCUGUGCUAACAAGUGUGAUUCAUCCAGCAUCCCGUGCAGAGGAAGGGCCAGACUCCAGGGGAGAAGAGACGACCUUAGGUUUAUAAACACCAUGACCAAAAUCAACCUGAGCAAGAAAGGGUUUAUUUCAUCAGACAUGUCCACAUUGCAGUCGUCAUCAAGGGAAAUCAGUGCAGAAAACUGAGGUAGGAACUGAAGCAGAAGCCAUGAAACACCCGGCUCACUGGCUUACUCUGCUCACUCUGCCUGGCUUGCUCAGCCUAGUUUCUAACAGCACCCAGGACCUCCUGCUCAGGGCUGGUAUCUGCCCCUAUGAGCAUUAAUCAAGAAAACCCACUACAGACUUGUCUACAGUCCACCUGAUGAAGACAUUUUCUCAACUGAGAUUCUCUCCUUCCCAGGUAACUCUAGCUUGUAUCAUGUUAACAAAAGUCUGACCAGCACAGGGACACACUCAGAAAAAGCAGACAAAUCUCGCAGCUGAAAAGAAUGUGGAAUUCCCUCAACCUCUUCACCACGCUAGGCUCCCUCAACUUCCAAACAAACAUUGGAUUCUCUGGUCCCACUUCAACAUUUAACCCACAAACUCUAUAAAGUCUUUCCCUCCUUAUAAUCCCAUGCCAAUAACAGUCAACAGUCCCUUCCAAGAGGCGACUCUUCAGUCUCCUUACUAACUGAUGGCUCGAGUGAGCUGCUGAUCUCUCAGUUUCACUCAGUGCCGUGGUCUAUAGAGUGGAAACAGUCACAGGAACUCCUCGGUCAGUGCUGAAGAAUUCACUGUAAGGCACUUAGCACAAAGUGGACAUGUGAUGACAGCUAGCAUUACAAUGUCAGGCAAGCCAGCAUCGGCAGCCAUACCAGCGUAUCAGGAAGUCGGCACAGUUGCUGGCAACAGAGGCUCAGGGCGUUUGUACUUUGGGAGACGUAACUGCAAGCCAGCACCUUUGAAGAGCUGCCCUAAAACAAAUCUGCUGGGAAAUCAAAUUCUGAAAUGAAGACAGUCAUUGCUAUAGGACAGACUUUGAAACUCCAAACCAAUAACUUCCUCUAUCCCUACUCUUACUGCCUUUCCUGAUCUGUCAUGCCCCAGGAAAACUCUUUGUUCAGCCAUUCUCUGAAACAGCUGGACGUGGUGGUGCGUAAUCCCAGCAGUUGGGAGGCUAAGGUGAAAGUUCAUAGGCUACUUAGUGAGUUCAAGGCCACUCUGGGCUAGUCGUGAGUUCAAGGCCAUCCUGGGUGACCUGCUAAUACCUAGUCUCAAAACAAACCCAAAACCAUUCCCAGACACAAAAUAAAGCUGUGCACAUAAAAGGGAAGAAAUGACUUCUACGUUACCUUCGGACAUUCACACAAAAGGCUGCUGUGUGCAUUCUUACCUGCUUCACUGCGUCCAGCAGUCGCUCCAGCAGGAAUUGCCUUUUGUCAUCGUUCUGUGACCCUGAAAUGAAAUGGGGUUUAAUUACUUCUGUUUGAUAACUAGAUUCUGAUUAAGGCUUUCUGGCACUCAAUGCCGAGCACAGUGACACAUGCUUUUAAUCCCAGCACUCAGGAGGUAAAGGCAGGAGGAUCUCCGUGAGUUUAAGAC